rnacentral:tRNA from 2 species
GCCCGAGUGGUGAAAUUGGUAGACACGCCUGAUUCAAAAUCAGGUUUCUUCGGAAGUGGCGGUUCAAGUCCGCCCUCGGGCACCA